rnacentral:sRNA from 1 species
CUUAAUUAUAGGGCUUAGUGGAUCUAAAGACGGGUCAUCAAAGAUUUCCUAUACUGAAGCAAAAUAUACCGAAUAUUCAAAUAUCUAUCUGUUACCAAAUUAUAAACAAAUAAGUUCGUAAAACAAUUUAAUAUUUU